AUCCAACUGACGAGUCCAAAAUAGGACGAAAUGCGCUUCCUGGAU
rnacentral:hammerhead_ribozyme from 1 species